rnacentral:rRNA from 1 species
UACGAGAGGCCCAAACGUUAUUCGGAUUUACUGGGCUUAAAGAGUUCGUAGGCGGCGCGGAAAGUGGGGUGUGAAAGCCCUCGGCUCAACCGAGGAAUUGCGCUUCAAACUACCGUGCUUGAGGAAGCUAGAGGUGAGCGGAACUGAUGGUGGAGCGGUGAAAUGCGUUGAUAUCAUCAGGAACACCGGAGGCGAAGGCGGCUCACUGGGGCUUUUCUGACGCUGAGGAACGAAAGCCAGGGGAGCGAACGGG